ACUACAUGAAGCUGGAAUCGCUAGUAAUCGCAGAUCAGAAUGCUGCGGUGAAUACGUUCCCGGGUCUUGUACACACCGCCCGUCACACCAUGGGAGUCGGGAAUGCCCGAAGUCAGUGACCCAACCGCAAGGAGGGAGCUGCCGAAGGCAGGCUCGAUAACUGGGGUGAAGUCGUAACAAGGUACC
rnacentral:rRNA from 1 species